AUUGAAUUAAUUUAUCGGUAGUAUUCGUCACGCAGAAGCGUGCAUUAUUCAAGCCUGCGAUGCUCUACGAGAUCACUUUGUGAUUGGUAUUCCGUAGAUGACUUUAAAAAAAUCGUGAGAACUGAAAUUUCAAAAAAUGAAAGGAAAAUAGAACGAUACGAGCUCACGCACAGGUAUACGUAUACUUUUUUUUCUUUUCCUUUUCUGAUCAUUUCGAAACACUCACCUUGUCUCACUUGUUUUUCUUUUUCCGGUUUAUUUCUCGGAUUAAAACGGGAUGGACGACGAGAUCGACGAUUAAAGAAACGUGCUCACUGAUAGGGUUAUGAAGAGACAGGCACCUUCACCGUCGAUUAUAUAGAAAUAGUCCCCACCAUCUCGUAGAUUCAUCCCACCCUAGGCUACAAGGACCCAUCGAGACUCUUCUUAGUUCGACCUUAAUCAUAAUUGGCUUAAUAAUCGAGGGUUAUGUUUUUCGUGAUUUUCACGUGUUUUGUCGCGUUUAUUGUUCGAGAAGGUAGUUGGAGUGGAUCGGUAUUGGUAAUUGGUAUACGUGUAACCCGGAAGUCUGAAUAGUUUCUAUGAGCUAUUUGAAUGGUAUUUGUUAAGAGAAUAUGUCGAUACAGGUUACAGGUAAGAGAGAAUA